GAGUUUGAUCAUGGCUCAGGAUGAACGCUGGCGGCGUGCCUAAUACAUGCAAGUCGAGCGAACAGACGAGGAGCUUGCUCCUCUGACGUUAGCGGCGGACGGGUGAGUAACACGUGGAUAACCUACCUAUAAGACUGGGAUAACUUCGGGAAACCGGAGCUAAUACCGGAUAAUAUAUUGAACCGCAUGGUUCAAUAGUGAAAGACGGUUUUGCUGUCACUUAUAGAUGGAUCCGCGCCGCAUUAGCUAGUUGGUAAGGUAACGGCUUACCAAGGCAACGAUGCGUAGCCGACCUGAGAGGGUGAUCGGCCACACUGGAACUGAGACACGGUCCAGACUCCUACGGGAGGCAGCAGUAGGGAAUCUUCCGCAAUGGGCGAAAGCCUGACGGAGCAACGCCGCGUGAGUGAUGAAGGUCUUCGGAUCGUAAAACUCUGUUAUUAGGGAAGAACAAAUGUGUAAGUAACUAUGCACGUCUUGACGGUACCUAAUCAGAAAGCCACGGCUAACUACGUGCCAGCAGCCGCGGUAAUACGUAGGUGGCAAGCGUUAUCCGGAAUUAUUGGGCGUAAAGCGCGCGUAGGCGGUUUUUUAAGUCUGAUGUGAAAGCCCACGGCUCAACCGUGGAGGGUCAUUGGAAACUGGAAAACUUGAGUGCAGAAGAGGAAAGUGGAAUUCCAUGUGUAGCGGUGAAAUGCGCAGAGAUAUGGAGGAACACCAGUGGCGAAGGCGACUUUCUGGUCUGUAACUGACGCUGAUGUGCGAAAGCGUGGGGAUCAAACAGGAUUAGAUACCCUGGUAGUCCACGCCGUAAACGAUGAGUGCUAAGUGUUAGGGGGUUUCCGCCCCUUAGUGCUGCAGCUAACGCAUUAAGCACUCCGCCUGGGGAGUACGACCGCAAGGUUGAAACUCAAAGGAAUUGACGGGGACCCGCACAAGCGGUGGAGCAUGUGGUUUAAUUCGAAGCAACGCGAAGAACCUUACCAAAUCUUGACAUCCUCUGACCCCUCUAGAGAUAGAGUUUUCCCCUUCGGGGGACAGAGUGACAGGUGGUGCAUGGUUGUCGUCAGCUCGUGUCGUGAGAUGUUGGGUUAAGUCCCGCAACGAGCGCAACCCUUAAGCUUAGUUGCCAUCAUUAAGUUGGGCACUCUAAGUUGACUGCCGGUGACAAACCGGAGGAAGGUGGGGAUGACGUCAAAUCAUCAUGCCCCUUAUGAUUUGGGCUACACACGUGCUACAAUGGACAAUACAAAGGGUAGCGAAACCGCGAGGUCAAGCAAAUCCCAUAAAGUUGUUCUCAGUUCGGAUUGUAGUCUGCAACUCGA
rnacentral:rRNA from 1 species